GGGGCUGUAGCUCAGAUGGGAGAGCGUGUGACUGGCAGUCACAAGGUCGUGGGUUCGAUCCCCAUCAGCUCCACCA
rnacentral:tRNA from 1 species